CUGGAGGUAGCAUAAUAUAGUUGUAUCUUGUUUACAUCAAGAAGGUGGCAGUCAGCCCCUCCAAU
rnacentral:tRNA from 1 species